CUUACUACAUAUACUUUACGUUGCAAAUUUAUAAAUACCAACCCAUGUCAGUGUCUUGUUGGUGUUGCUUAAAAAGAAUGACACAAAUAUUAAAUUCCACGUAGGGACCUUCGCUGAUCAUUACAUAUUCGGUUCGUUUUCACUUAUCACGUGGGUAAUAUUUGAUGUUAUGAAAGUGUUCAAAAACUACGUAAAUUAUAGUUUUUGCACCCAAAAAAUAAAAUACAAAUGGUUGAGUUUG